UGGCCAAUUGCUCAAUGGUUAGAGCGUUGGCCUGCCGAUCCAAGGGUCUGUGGUUCGAUUCCUGGUCAA
rnacentral:tRNA from 1 species